rnacentral:rRNA from 1 species
AUUGAACGCUGGCGGCAGGCCUAACACAUGCAAGUCGAGCGGAAGAAGGGAGCUUGCUCCUGGAUUCAGCGGCGGACGGGUGAGUAAUGCCUAGGAAUCUGCUUGGUAGUGGGGGAUAACGUCCGCAAACGGGUGCUACUACUGCAUACGUCCUGCGGGAGAAAGAGGGGGAUCUUCGGACCUCACGCUCUCAGAUGAGUCUAGGUCGGAUUAGCUAGUUGGUGGGGUGAAGGGCUACUUAGCCGACGAUCCGUAACUGGUCUGCUAGGAGGAUCAGUCACACUGGAACUGAGACACCGUCCAUAGGCCUACGGGAGGCAGCAGUGGGGAAUAGUGGACAAUGGGCGAAAGCCUGAUCCAGCCAUGGCGCGUGUGUGAAGAAGGUCUUCCGAUUGUAAAGCACUUUAAGUUGGGAGGAAGGGCGGUAAGUUAAUACCUUGCUGUUUUGACGUUACCAACAGAAGAAGCACCGGCUAACUUCGUG